rnacentral:lncRNA from 1 species
AAAAUCUUAAAAAAAAAAUUUUUUUUGUUUAUUUGUCAGAGCACAAGCAGGGGUCCAGCAGGCAGAGCAGACAGAGGGAGAAGCAGCUUCUACCAAGCACGGAGCCCAAUGCGAGACUCAGUCCUAGGACCCCAGGAUCCUGACCCAUUGCCUAACCAGCUGAGCUACCCAGUGCAACAGAUUGAACACAGAAAUGUAUAAAGGAUUUCCAGAUGUCUUCC